rnacentral:rRNA from 1 species
UAACAGUUAGAAAUGACUGCUAAUACCGCAUAAGACCGCGGUGCCGCAUGGCACAGCGGUAAAAACUCCGGUGGUAUGAGAUGGGCCCGCGUCUGAUUAGCUGGUUGGAGAGGUAACGGCUCACCAAGGCGACGAUGCAUAGCCGGCCUGAGAGGGCGGACGGCCACACUGGGACUGAGACACGGCCCAGACUCCUGCGGGAGGCAGCAGUAGGGAAUUUUCGUCAAUGGGGGGAACCCUGAACGAGCAAUGCCGCGUGAGCGAGGAGGGUCUUCGGAUCUUAAAGCUCUGUUGCCGGGGACAAAAGGCAGAAAGAGUGGAAAGCUUUCUGAGUGAUGGUACCCGGCGAGGAAGUCACGGCUAACUACGUGCCAGCAGCCGCGCUAAUACGUAGGUGGCGAGCGUUAUCCGGAAUGAU